rnacentral:rRNA from 1 species
GUGGGGAAUAUUGCGCAAUGGGGGAAACCCUGACGCAGCAAUACCGCGUGAGUGAAGAAGGUUUUCGGAUCGUAAAACUCUUUUAUUGGGGAAGAAGAAGUGACGGUACCCAAUGAAGAAGUCCCGGCUAACUACGUGCCAGCAGCCGCGGUAAUACGUAGGGGACAAGCGUUGUCCGGAAUCACUGGGCGUAAAGGGCGCGUAGGCGGUUUUAUAAGUCAGAUGUGAAAGGUACCGGCUCAACCGGUGACGUGCAUUUGAAACUGUAAGACUUGAGUACUGGAGAGGCAAGUGGAAUUCCUAGUGUAGCGGUGAAAUGCGUAGAUAUUAGGAGGAACACCGGUGGCGAAGGCGGCUUGCUGGACAGAUACUGACGCUGAGGUGCGAAAGCGUGGGGAGCGAACAGGAUUAGAAACCCGUGUAGUCC